ACCAAGUCUUUUGUCCCAUUUGUUUUACUUUUUCUUCCAAUUUCAAGAAAGUGGCGUCAGCCACUUCCCUUUUCCCCUUUUUUUUUUUUGCUUGUUGGCUUUUCUUCUUCUGUUUCUUCUUGGCUGCUGCUUCCUUUUUUUGUUUUUUUUUCUUCUUUGCUUUUGGUUUGCUGCGCAUCCAUAAGUUGUCAACAGGAACGUGGCUAUCCUUUUUCUUUUAAAGACCUCCAUCCUUCCUUCUUCCUUCCGUGGUUUUGAUUGUUCGCAAACAAUCCCCAGAUGAAGAAUUCAAAGAAUAGGCUGCAUAAACGUGGCCUCCCUUUUCAAGCUUUGUUCCUCUCUUUUUUGUGCACACAGCUGAUUUUUAUUUGCUGUGAGGUUAAAUCCCUCCAUGAUUAUGUUUGUGGGUUUUGUACCCAAAUUGGAUUUGUGCUCUUGAGAGAGGCUGUGACAGAAAAACAUGGCCUCUAUUUUCUCUCCCUUUUUUUUUACAGAUCUCCAUUUUUUUCUCUGCCUAUUCUUUUCUUCAUGACUAACAUCCUUUACAUUUUUUUUGAUGUAGUUUGCUCAGAGAGAAAAAUAAAGGCCUUCUUAAGCAGAGAGGGAGAGGAGCGGUGAGAGAGCCCAAGAGGAAUAUACCCUUAAUUUGUCCUACAUCAAGUGGAGUUGGAUCCCUCGCAAUGUUAACCGAGCAGCACAUGAUGCUACAAGGAUUAGUUCUAGAGUGGUGUCUCAUUUUUGCUGGGCUGGGAGGCCACCAGAAUCUCUUGUCAGUAUUUUGGUUUCGAAUGGCUUGCCUGGCCCUCCUCUGUAGGCGUUAUUUCUUUGUUUUUUGUUUGACCAAGAUUGGACUAUCACCUUGCUGUGUGUGAUUAGGUGUUCCCUCUCUUGGUUGUUGUGUAAGCUUGUUCUCCAUAGGUGAUGUUUUCUCCCUGGGGCUUUUA